rnacentral:lncRNA from 1 species
GAUGGGAAAAAAACAUCACGUUGGGAGAACCGCCUGGGUUUUUGCACUCGUGGUGGUGUGUAUUUUGGGACCUUUACUGUGCAGCUCCUGAAAGGAGAGACACUUGUGAACAUUCAAGUGAAGCAAAAGCCUUUCAUGAUUAUAGUGCAGCAGCUGCCCCGAGCCCCGUGCUUGGCAACAUUCCCCCCAACGAUGGGAUGCCGGGAGGCCCCAUCCCGCCAGGUUUCUUUCAGCCUUUUAUGUCACCGCGAUACGCAGGCGGCCCCAGGCCCCCGAUCAGAAUGGGAAACCAGCCUCCGGGAGGAGUUCCUGGGACACAGCCAUUGCUGCCCAAUUCUAUGGAUCCCACACGACAACAAGCCCCCCACCCCAAUCAACCUCUAUGCUUUCUUCUUAAAAAAAAAAAAAAAGGAAAAAGGAAAAAAAAAAAA